rnacentral:lncRNA from 1 species
GGUUGUAGAAGAGCCCCAGUAUUAAUCAUUGUAGCAGCAGCAAUGUGAGAUGUGAGUUGCCGUACAGGAAAGAGAAGCCUACUGAGAUACAACAAGAAAGCAAUUAAGAAACAACAUGCAGAAGGACAGCAUGGCUUCUGUGCCAAGUCUUUUGAUGGAGAACAAAAUUGUGAAGAAAUUCAAAAACUAAUCUCAACACUUAGGAUCUCAAAAGCAGAUGCUCCAAUAUAUACUGAAAGUAUUGCAAGAUUGAAAAAUCCAACCUGCGAUUUCACAGGAAAUAAGAAAUUACUGCAUAACAUUGUUUGGUAAAAAUUGUAUUAAGACAAUACAAGAAUAGUUUCCAACACAAAUGUUGAAGUGUGUAUUGUAUUAUAAGCUCAACUGUACCUUCUUCUUAAAAGCCUCAUUAAAAAGGUUAUUUCUGGUUCAGAUAUUGCAUGCUUGAGCUGUGACAGCAAAAUUUACUUUUCCCCACAUUUGAAGUGAUUUGGAAAAGCUAUUUUUGAUACAGAGGCCUCAAAAAAAGGUGUUGCUCAUCUUGUUCCAAAUUUGCUCUAAAACUUUCUUAACCUGGUCUAUCUCAAAAGCAGCUUAUCUUAAAAACUGAAAAGGGAGGGUAUUUGAAAAAUUGUGUUGAGGUUUAGCAUAAAGGGACAUUCUUCAGAGGAAGGAAAGUUUGUGUAAGGAGUUAUUUACUAGUAAACCAGAAAUGUCAGAAUAAACUAUCAGACACCAACA